ACCGAAGCCUCUGAAAGGAGACAAAGAGGGAGAAAAACAAACAAGAAAAUGUGACACCAUUGAAAGCAACAAGGAGUGAGACCUACGGCUGAAUGAGGACCAAAAGUUGCCCCCCACGCACCCCCACUCCCACUUCCCCCCUCCAAUUCGCCUCCUGCCUACAGCCCUCCACCUCGCAAGAAAAAGCAUCCAGAGAAUUGUCUGGAAACUCCACUGGAACAAGACCUGUUUCACCCUCUGUUGUACCUCCAGCACCUAGAACGAUGCCAACCCAUGGUAGGAGAUCACCAGGGUCCCUGAGCUCCUACUGCAAGAGGAUCGCAUUCCCUUGCCCAGUGUUGAAAGACACUUCCUGAUUUGGCACCCAAUUGCUCCUCUCCCUGUGCAGGCCUCAUGAAAGCAAUCUGAAUUAAACUGGAAAUUGAGGACAAUCAUCACUGAAUCUCAGUAAUUCUACGUACUUGGCUGUGGUAAAAGACAAGAGAAGGAGACAGAAGUGGAAGCAAGUGGAAAGGGCAGGAAACUGUAGCAGCAUAAUGGAUGUCGCCCUUUCACAGAGCACCUCUCUUUCUGAAGGAUCCCACCAGGGACUUGCUGAAUGGAUUGGAAAGUGAACGGCAACCAUCACUCUGUCUCCAGGAAGAGAGGAGCGGCCACGUACUCUGGGUGUUACAUUCGGUACAAGUGUAACCUCCCACCAAGCCUCAGUAAUUAAGAACCAACCGUGAAAAUGAAA